rnacentral:tRNA from 1 species
GCAGGAUUAGCUCAGUUGGUUAGAGCGUUUCUCUUACAAAGAAAAGGCCGCUGGUUCGAGCCCAGCAUCCUGUA